AUCCUAUGAGGAGGACAUUGUAUAAAGAACUCUUUCAAUCUCUCUCAGGCAUUAAAUAAAGAUUCAUCAUCUCCUUGUCUAAAUGAUGUUAUAUCGUUCCUCAUCUU